AUGGCUCAAAAAACAAAACCAAAUCUUGGAUGGAUGCAGGCUAAAGGACUCAGGGCCAGCCUUUCUGUCCACUUUCCCUGUGCCUUGAAUGCUACAGUCAGGGGCUACUUCCCAAAUGGCACCCUAUUUGGGGAAUAUUGUGCCAUUUGGGACAUAGUUACAGUGUGGAGCCUGUUAAGGUCCUGGUCAGGCCUCACUCCAGUCAUUUUUCUUAUCAUCAGGUGAGGUGGUAGCAAAGACACUGUCACAAAAUGUUUUGAGUUGGCACACAUCUGAUGUGCCUCUAGAGCCCCAAGUAGAGAUGUAUGAAAGUCAACCAUGGAGCAUCAGUGUAUUCUAUCUAAGAAUAUUUUUGAGUGGUCAUUGCACAUAUCCACUUUGUGACUGCUUUGCUUUAGAUUUUAGUUCUGCCUGUGUUUUUUGAAAGGCAAGGGUCCGGAAGGAUUGCAUUAUGAACAAGCCCUUGAGCUGGAAACUGUUCACUCAAUGGUGAGGGUAAUAGACAAUCUUCUAGAUUCCAUGCUCCAGUAUAUAAUAUUGAUGACAUUAUCUUCACCAAUGGGAUACCUGAUUGAGGAUACACCCUAUUCAUAACGCUUUCAAAUGCUCUCACUGUAUCAAGCACUCUCAUGGUAGUUAAGACACUGUCACUGUUGCAGCAUCAUCUAAGCUUGUCUUCAUGCUUUGUAUGUGAAAGUGGGCUGGGGAAAACAUUUAAGAAAAUAUUGAGUUGGAGUGAUUGGUUUGUACCUCACUUCCUAGGUUUUUUGAAUCUGUAAGUCAUUAAAAUACUGAGUUUUUUUAUGUAGUUUUAGAUUAACCUGAUUUGAUAACUAAUAUAAUGACAAAAAUUGAUAUGAUUGAUUAGUUCCAUUGCAAGUUGGAGCUCAGAUAUUGUACAUUAUUUUGUGUAUUCUGAUGCAACUAGGGUGCAAAACAUACACAGCAAUGAAUGCACACAAGCAUAUUUUCUCAUUUAAACUAAGGUGAAAGAGGACUGAAAUGAUCAAUGGUGAGUGGAAAUAAAAUGCAUUUUUUGGUUUGAGGAAAAUGUAUUUUCCAUCUUUGUGUAGGCUAUAUAUUGUUGGUCGUUGGCAUCUCCAGUAAGGGUGAUUGAAACAUUUUUG
rnacentral:lncRNA from 1 species